UUUCUUAAGCACUCCCAUCCCAAUUCAUUCUUCCCUCAUACACUGCUAUCUCCCGCUAUAGGAAUUUUGAACCCGCCGCGCUCAGCCGUAGCUUCCGUUCUCGCUCGCCGCCCCUCUCCGUUGUUAUCGCGCACCGCUGUAGUCUUGUCUUCUGUGCGGCUAGAUUAUUUCUUCUCAUACCCACUCUCUGUCGCUCUAAAUAAUCGAACCCGCCGCCUCAAACCCUAGCCACGCGGUUCUCGCCGCCCUCUUCACCAUUCUCGCGCUCAAACCCUCUUCGUCCGGUCAACCCGCCACUCCCCGUCUCAAGCAGGCAUAGUCGCACAUCCGCCCUCUGCCUCGGCCGUCGGCCUCUUCCCCAUUGCCAACCGCCGCCCUCCUUCUCUGUCUUCACUUCUACACGUCCGUUGUGCUGCCGUCACUGCUCCGCUUUUUUGAUGCUCCAUUGUUCGCUGCUCUGUUCUAGAUUGACCGGUAAAAUGAAGAAGCUCGUUCAUUGAAGACAUGGAUAUUAAAUAGUCAAUGAUUUGUACGAUUCAAACAUUAUUGAAUUCUUGUUGUAAAUAUAUUAAUAUUAUGAUGUGUAUGUAUGUAGGAUUUUCAACGUUGAAUGUUUAAUGUAUGUAAAAGUUGGAUGUUUAGUUAUGAAUGAUUAAUUGAUAUAUCAAUGUUUUAGAUA